GUGAAUGUCUGCACGUUCCCACACACAGCACCAGGUGCUCCGGACCAUGCUAGGCCCUGGGGCUUAAAAGAAGACUAAGGGUUUUUUCCUUCCCGUAGGAAGCUAGUAGCCUCAGUUUGCUCAUCUGUAAAAUGGGAAUAAUAAUGGUACUUACCACAUAAGGUUAUCGUGAGGAUUAAAUGAAAUACCAUGUAAAGUUCUUACCACAGAGCCUGGCAUAUGGUGGGUGCUCAAUAAGUGGCAGGUGUCAUUGUUAUAAGUGUUAAUAUUACUCUGGUGGGGGAGACUACACAUGGAGAAACACAUAUGUUGUGGACCGGACUGGACCUUCGCAAACUGAGUGGGUCCUGGCCUUGUAUGAAUUGGUGUUUGCCCCUGAACCUGCUGCUCCACCUCCGGCUCACCCCAGAGUAACCCCCAGGAUCCAGACGGACCCAUCCAUCUACCGGAGGGGACUCCAAGCCCCCAGGGAGAGGCAGGAAUGGUCGGGACUUCAAACAUGGAUAAGGCAAAUUCCGUGCCAUCAAGAGAUGCUCACAGCCUCAAGGAAAAGUCGCACGUGAAAUAGACACUUGCAAUCCAGGGUGUUCAGGCAUUCCCUCUCUCAUCCGUGCACCAAACAUGUACCAAACAGGUCCUUGGCCUGAGCCCCUUCAGCCACGAGCACUGUUGUCUGUGGCAAAAUGGUGCAAGGAGCAAGAGCUUUGCAGUCAGACAGUUCUGAGCU
rnacentral:lncRNA from 1 species